AUGCAUUGCAUCAACCGCAAACAUGGAAAGCAACACCGCGAGAGAGACAUUACCGCCGUGCGUGCUGGCGCUGCUGGUGGAGGUGUCGACCUUGGAGCGCGGCUGCGGCGGGCAGUUGCCCAUGGGCCACAGCCGGAUGCAGCACCCGGUGGCGACGCCGGCGUCCUCCUCGCCGCCCUUCCGUGGCAGGCGGCGGCCGCGCCUGCUGCUGCUGCUGCUGCGGCUGCGGCGGCACCAUCCCCACCUCUCCCGCUCCUCCUCGCCAGAGCUCUCCCACCCGUCGAACUGCCCCAGCUCCGGCGGCGCGAGCCCCAUGGGCUACCACCACCACCUCCCCCUCCUCCCCCUCGCGAAAAGAGCUUCACGAAGAUCCCGCCGCCACACCUCCGAAUCGCGCCGAAUCAGCUCGCUCCCCCGCACGAGCGCCACCAGAUCGGCCUCAGGGAGCACCAAACACACACGCCCCCCCACACGCAACCGCCGAAACCCUGGCGCCCCACGAAACCCAGCGCCUCCGCCGAAUCCCGUCAAAUCACACCAAUCUCCAAGCACCAGCGAACCAUCCGCGCCGAACCACCGCGUCUCCCCCACGGAGCCGAGCGCCGGACCACCACCGCAUGA
rnacentral:rRNA from 1 species